rnacentral:rRNA from 1 species
AUGAGAAACCUUGAUGGGAACAUGAGUUCUGAUAACACAAAUCCUGUCAUACAACAUGGUGGAUCAGUUGACUUUUCCCAAGGGAAUGACAACGGUGUUACUUCACGGGUCUCCAAUACUGUUACAUGCAGUACUACUAAGCUUCCAUUGUUUCAAGGAAAAGCAACUGAUAUGUCCAGUACAAAUUUAAUAAAAAAAAUGCUCGUUCUUGACCAAGAGACGUGGGUUGCUGUUGACAUUCCUGAAGAAUUCCAAGUGAUUGUUUUGUCACUGCCAUCAACUGAGGUUCUUGUUAAUGAUGUUGAGAUGCCUAGCACUGGUAACAACUCAAAGCUCAGUGAGGAUGGAGUUUGUACAGGUCAAGAGUCGCAUAUUCAACUGAAAAUAAUGUUGAAAAUAACAGUGGAACAUCUAUGA